GGCUACUUGUAUGGCUGGGAUGAAUUCAAUAUACGGUUGCAGAAGUUCCUUCCACUCCAGCCACACCUAUACUCUUUCUUCGAGAUUGCCAUCCAUUCGAUGGCGUUCAAGUUGCAAUCCAUUGGGCGAGUGUUAGUCCGUUUGUGAUACCAAGAAAAGAGGAGAGAGAUCAAGGUGGGCCGAAAGAACCGGCAUGCCUAAGCUACAAUUCUGAUGAGAAACUAUCUACCAAGAAACCGCACUGCUGGCCGUUAUCAAGACGAGCGGAUAGCCACGCCACUACUGACAUCACGCGCGCGCAGAAUUGCUAUCAGGGCCAUAAAUAACCUUGACGAACCCUGGUCCAUGCAUGAAAGGCGGACGAGUCUCGCUAGAUAGCAAUCCAAUCGUGUUGUCAGAGGAGAGUGGGUUCAAAGUAAAGCGAGAAUUCGUGUAGUACGUCCAGUACGGGAAAUCAAAUAGUCCAAUCCACCCAGCUUCCCUGCCUUACGGCGAAAUGAUUGCUGCCGGGUGAGGAGAAGAGGACUAAGCGGUAGGGUCUAACUAGGGUCCCAGCGAAGAUGCUUAUUGAUGACAAAUUAGGGUAUGUUUCCGAAAUAUGGAAAGGAUGAGAACCAUCCAUGGCCUUUUUGUCGAUCUCUGGGGUAAUGUAAUUUGCUGUUUUAGCCCAUAAAGAAUAAAAGGUGGGGAGGGAAGACACCUUCUUUCGAUUUCUAAACAAGGCGUUCGGGCAGGCUAUGCUCGCUGCUGGCAUUUAUAUCCUCCCCUCCUUAUAUUGGAGAGGGAACUCGGAUGUUCGGCCUGCUGAGUUAACUAAGGUUUGCUGAGACGCAGACAGGGAGGAGGGCUUUAAACCACACA
rnacentral:sRNA from 2 species